GUAGUGACAAGAAAUACCAAUAUAGGACCCAACGGGUACUAUGUUUGGAAUGAGUACAAUUUAAAAACCUUAACGAGGAACAAUUGGAGGGCAAGUCUGGUGCCAGCAGCCGCGGUAAUUCCAGCUCCAAUAGUGUAUAUUAAAGUUGCUGCGGUUAAAAAGCUCGUAGUUGGAUUUCGGAGUUGUUAUCUGAACCUUCUCGCCAUAAAAAGUGGGGGGGCUAAGGUAGCAGUAGUUUUCAUCAUAGUCCACCAGGAUACUCUCUUGGUGUGUACUGGGUGUUAACCUCCUUUUUUCUGGUACUUGCUAUCCAGCAAUGGGUAGUUUUGUCCAGAUAGUUUACUUUGAAAAAAUUAGAGUGUUCAAAGCAGGCAUAAUUGGCAUCAUGAAUACAUUAGCAUGGGAUAAUAGAAUAUGACAUUGGUCUUAUUUUGUUGGUUUCUAAGGCCAAAGUAAUGAUUGAUA
rnacentral:rRNA from 1 species